rnacentral:tRNA from 1 species
UCCCUGAUGGCUCAGCAGAAAAGAAUCUGCCUGUCAAUGCAGGAGACCCAGGUUCGAUCCCUGGUCAGGAAG